rnacentral:lncRNA from 1 species
GUCAGGUGGCACAGAGGGAAGAGCAGGUCCUCCGUCUGAGGGCUCAGGUUGUAGCUCUGCAGGGGGAUCUGCAGGUACACUGCACCCAGCUGGAGAGUGGAGACGAUGCCCUCGCCGCUCUGAGCCAACAGCUCCGAGACACGCUGGGAGAGCUGGAGCACAGCUGUAAACACAGCCGUGAGUGUGAGCUGCUCAUCAGCACUCUCAGAGACACCGCUGCUACCCUUCGCCGACAGGCUGAAGAGCAAGAAGAGAUGGCAGUGAAGACACAGGCUGAUUUCUCCAUCAACCAGGCCACUCACGUUCACUCCGACUCAGACUACGAAUCCCAGCUGUCCCGUGUUCAGGAACUGGAGCAUGCGCUGGAACGCUGCGGUCAGAGCGCCCA